rnacentral:lncRNA from 1 species
GGAGAGAGGGAAGAACCGGUGAGGGGUAGCGACAGUUCGGAGAUGAGGAUAAAGUCGGGAAUGAGUAAAGAAGUGAGUGAGGUAGGACAAGUUUGAGUUGUGCACUAGUCAUGAGUGAGGGAGGAUCGCGAUCUCUCUAGAUCCACUCACACUGAGAGAGCACUAGUCGAGAGAAGGACAGAGCACUAGCAGAGUGAUGAUGUCACGCGAACUGAGAGAGAGAG